GGAGUAACAAAAUUGAGAUUGGAGUGUUUUUUAAUCAUUUCUUCUCGAAUAUCCAGCCGACAAGACAAGACAAUUAGGGAGAAAGCCAAGAGCAGAACAAGAAACUAAUUAAUGUGGGUUUGAUUUCAUUGUAUAGGCCCUAUACAAUGGCACCAUGUCAUACUUCCAAGAUGACUAUGCGAUUUUUUCAAGAAAAGAAAGUAAACCUUUUAGGAUAAUCCAGAAGAUCGCCUCGCUUGUUACACGUGUGGGAUUAUAACUUUGAUUAUGUUCCUACGGACAGAGUCCAAGUUCCAUCUUCAACAAACAAUCAUUCGUUUCAUAAUCCCUAAACAUAUUAUAUACAUACGUGAAUUUUAACACUAUUUUAUAUCUUGAGAAUAUUUUUGAUUCCUCAUCCUUUGCCAUCUGAUUUUCCCAAAAACUGUUUUCGAUUUCUAUGGUAAUCAUCUAUUUUUCAUAAUAAACUUCAAGCUAAAUGGAAACAUUUCUAGAACUGCAAAAAAUCAUUUAUUAAAAUUUCAUGUCUUCUAAAACUAAUUUCGCCGGUUAAUUCUAAGCACUCCUCCCACGAAUAAUAAUUUUUUCUCAUUCUUUGUUGAAAUAAAAAUAUCAUUUUGAUUAAAAAAUACUUUUUAAUUGCAACCUU